GACGAACGCUGGCGGCGUGCCUAAUACAUGCCAGUAGAACGCUGAAGGAGGAGCUUGCUUCUCUGGAUGAGUUGCGAACGGGUGAGUAACGCGUAGGUAACCUGCCUGGUAGCGGGGGAUAACUAUUGGAAACGAUAGCUAAUACCGCAUAAUAGUAGAUGUUGCAUGACAUUUGCUUAAAAGUUGCAAUUGCAUCACUACCAGAUGGCCCUGCGUUGUAUUAGCUAGUUGGUGGGGUAACGGCUCACCAAGGCGACGAUACAUAGCCGACCUGAGAGGGUGAUCGGCCACACUGGGACUGAGACACGGCCCAGACUCCUACGGGAGGCAGCAGUAGGGAAACUCCGGCAAUGGACGGAAGGCUGACCGAGCAACGCCGCGUGAGUGAAGAAGGUUUUCGGAUCGUAAAGCUCUGUUGUAAGAGAAGAAAGAGUGUGAGAGUGGAAAGUUCACACUGUGACGGUACCUUACCAGAAAGGGACGGCUAACUACGUG
rnacentral:rRNA from 1 species